rnacentral:rRNA from 1 species
UAGGAUUCCCUUAGUAGCGGCGAGCGAACAGGGAAGAGCCCAGCACCGAAUCCCGCGGCCGGCCCGGACGCUGGGAAAUGUGGUGUUAGGGAGGACACAAUAUCUCGAGAUUGUGCGGCGAGUCCAAGUCCUUCUUGAACGGGGCCACUGCCCAUAGAGGGUGCCAGGCCCGUAGUGACCGUUGCCGAUCGCGAGGUGAUCUCUCCUCAGAGUCGGGUUGCUUGAGAGUGCAGCCCUAAGUGGGUGGUAAACUCCAUCUAAGGCUAAAUAUAACCACGAGACCGAUAGCGAACAAGUACCGUGAGGGAAAGUUGAAAAGAACUUUGAAGAGAGAGUUCAAUAGUACGUGAAACCGUUCAGGGGUAAACCUGAGAAACCCGAAAGGUCGAAAGGGGAGAUUCAUUCGCGUUUCGGGGGCUAAGUUGGGCGAUUGCGUGACGGAAGGUUUCGGCCGACCGCUCCUUUCGUUCGUCGAAAUGCUCACGAACGCGUGCACUUCUCCCCAAGUAGGACGUCGCGAUCCGUUAGGCGCCGGUCUAAGGCCCGUGGUGGAGCCCUACGGACGGUUUACCGUCCGUUGGACCCGCGGUGUUCCCGGCCGGCUCGCUCGACGGUAUACUGAUGGCGUAAGACCGCGACUUUAGUUCGCGUCCGGCCCGCGGCAAGCGCGUCACGUCGUCGGCGAUCGGACCUAGUGCCGGUUCCGGCCCGUGAUGGCUGUUCGCUGCGGUGUUCUCGGACAGAUCUUACUGAAACGCCUAUCUGCGGCGCUAUAGCUUUGGGUACUUUCAGGACCCGUCUUGAAACACGGACCAAGGAGUCUAGCAUGUACGCGAGUCAUUGGGACAUAACUAAACCUAAAGGCGCAAUGAAAGUAAAGGUCCGCCUUGCGCGGACUUAGGGAAGAUGGGCGGUCCUUGUGGCCGCUUCGCACUCCCGGGGCGUCUCGUUCUCAUUGCGAGAAGAGGCGCACCAAGAGCGUACACGCUGGGACCCGAAAGAUGGUGAACUAUGCCUGGUCAGGACGAAGUCAGGGGAAACCCUGAUGGAGGUCCGUAGCGAUUCUGACGUGCAAAUCGAUCGUCGGAACUGGGUAUAGGGGCGAAAGACUAAUCGAACCAUCUAGUAGCUGGUUCCCUCCGAAGUUUCCCUCAGGAUAGCUGGCGCUCGUUGCGCACGAGUCUCAUCCGGUAAAGCGAAUGAUUAGAGGCAUUGGGGUCGAAACGGCCUCAACCUAUUCUCAAACUUUAAAUGGGUGAGAUCUUCGGCUUGCUCGAACUAUUGAAGCCGUAAGACACGGAUCAGAGUGCCAAGUGGGCCAUUUUUG